UGUUAUAGGUUAUAGGAAGUAAAUAUGUUAAUAUAGGAAGUAAAUAUUGAUAGAUGGGUUAGUUACUUAAUUUUAGGGAUUGCAUAAUCAUAGGCUUGAUUUUUCUUCCUGUUUAGAUACCGUCUCUCAUGUAUAAAUAGGUUGUAAUCUCUAUUGUGAAAUACAACAAAUAUUAUCUUUCUACAUGGUAUCAGAGCCUUUCUCGUAGAGAUUUUUUUUCCUCCUCUCUUGUCAAGUUUUAAAAUUUUUUUUUGGAGACUUAGGGCUCCGUUCAUUUGAGUUAUCCAUAAAGGGUAACAUUUGGAUCUCUUCAUCGGCACUGUUCACGGCACUGUUCAUCGACACUGUUUAUCGGCACUGUUCACGGUACUGUUCACGGGUACUGUUCAUCGGUACUGUUCACGGGUACUGUUCUUCUGAUCCUUUGCUAUUUUGAUUGUUUUGGGUUGGUUGUUUUGAUGGCUGAAGUUAAAACCACCGUAACUGAUGUGAUUCCUGUGAUGACUAAAAUCACGGAACACAAAUUAAAUGGAUCUAAUUUUUUAGAUUGG
rnacentral:lncRNA from 1 species